UGGGGAAUCUUCCGCAAUGGACGAAAGUCUGACGGAGCAACGCCGCGUGAGUGAUGACGGUCUUCGGAUUGUAAAGCUCUGUUAAUCGGGACGAAUGGUUUGUGUGCAAAUAGUGCAUAGACAUGACGGUACCGGAAUAGAAAGCCACGGCUAACUACGUGCCAGCAGCCGCGGUAAUACGUAGGUGGCAAGCGUUGUCCGGAAUUAUUGGGCGUAAAGCGCGCGCAGGCGGACUAGCCAGUCAGUCUUAAAAGUUCGGGGCUUAACCCCGUGAUGGGAUUGAAACUACUAGUCUAGAGUAUCGGAGAGGAAAGUGGAAUUCCUAGUGUAGCGGUGAAAUGCGUAGAUAUUAGGAAGAACACCAGUGGCGAAGGCGACUUUCUGGACGAACACUGACGCUGAGGCGCGAAAGUCAGGGGAGCGAACGGG
rnacentral:rRNA from 1 species